rnacentral:rRNA from 1 species
AUUAAAGGUGAUCAUAUCCUUGGUGUUAAAGAUGUUAUAUUUGACAAGGAUAGACUUUGCAGCGCUUGUCAAGCAGGAAAACAAGUUGGAGGAAAUCAUCCUGUGAAAAACAUCAUGACCACAAGAAGACCGCUUGAGCUACUUCACAUGGAUCUUUUUGGUCACAAUGCCUACAAGAGUCUCGGUGGUAACUCAUUUGGUUUAGUCAUUGUUGAUGAUUUUUCCAGAUUUAUGUGGGUGUUCUUUCUUGAUGAUAAAUCGCAGGUCCAAAAGAUCUUCAAGAACUUCGCUAGGAAGGCCCAAAACCAAUUUGAAGUGAAGAUCAAGAAGGUUUGA